CCUACGGGCGGCAGCAGUGAGGAAUAUUGGUCAAUGGACGAGAGUCUGAACCAGCCAAGUAGCGUGAAGGAUGACUGCCCUAUGGGUUGUAAACUUCUUUUAUAUGGGAAUAAAAUGUUCCACGUGUGGGAUUUUGUAUGUACCAUAUGAAUAAGGAUCGGCUAACUCCGUGCCAGCAGCCGCGGUAAUACGGAGGAUCCGAGCGUUAUCCGGAUUUAUUGGGUUUAAAGGGAGCGUAGGUGGAUUGUUAAGUCAGUUGUGAAAGUUUGCGGCUCAACCGUAAAAUUGCAGUUGAAACUGGCAGUCUUGAGUACAGUAGAGGUAGGCGGAAUGCGUGGUGUAGCGGUGAAAUGCUUAGAGAUCACGAAGAACUCCGAUUGCGAAGGCAGUUCACUGGACUGCAACUGACACUGAGGCUCGAAAGUGUGGGUAUCAAACAGGAUUAGAUACCCCAGUAGUC
rnacentral:rRNA from 1 species